UGAACGCUGGCGGCAGGCUUAACACAUGCAAGUCGAGCGGAGUGAUGGUGCUUGCACUAUCACUUAGCGGCGGACGGGUGAGUAAUGCUUAGGAAUCUGCCUAUUAGUGGGGGACAACAUUUCGAAAGGAAUGCUAAUACCGCAUACGUCCUACGGGAGAAAGCAGGGGAUCUUCGGACCUUGCGCUAAUAGAUGAGCCUAAGUCGGAUUAGCUAGUUGGUGGGGUAAAGGCCUACCAAGGCGACGAUCUGUAGCGGGUCUGAGAGGAUGAUCCGCCACACUGGGACUGAGACACGGCCCAGACUCCUACGGGAGGCAGCAGUGGGGAAUAUUGGACAAUGGGCGCAAGCCUGAUCCAGCCAUGCCGCGUGUGUGAAGAAGGCCUUAUGGUUGUAAAGCACUUUAAGCGAGGAGGAGGCUACUGAAGUUAAUACCUUCAGAUAGUGGACGUUACUCGCAGAAUAAGCACCGGCUAACUCUGUGCCAGCAGCCGCGGUAAUACAGAGGGUGCAAGCGUUAAUCGGAUUUACUGGGCGUAAAGCGCGCGUAGGCGGCUAAUUAAGUCAAAUGUGAAAUCCCCGAGCUUAACUUGGGAAUUGCAUUCGAUACUGGUUAGCUAGAGUGUGGGAGAGGAUGGUAGAAUUCCAG
rnacentral:rRNA from 1 species